AUGACCAAUGCAAGUGGAUGUGAACUGCUGUUUAAAAAGAACCUCACUGACGGUCCGACACUGAUAUUCUCACUGAAAAGAAACAAGGUGACCUUCAAGAGACCCACUGAAGACAGAUUACAGUUCUUUAUGAACAACGGGACCUUUAGGUUAACCAACGUGGAGAGGGCUGAUUCUGGGAAAUACUUCUUGGAGAUCUACGAUUCCGGAGGGGAACAUUUGGGAACCAGACGAGUACAACUGGACAUUGAAGGCAUGGUGACCUUCUGUAAUGCUACACAGAAUAUGUCGUGUUACGGAGCUCUGGGAGGAACUGUCUAUCUCCAGCUGAUGAAUGAUGCCACAGGAUCCGAACUCACAUUCAAAAAAGACCCCACUGGUUCGAGAACAGUGAUAUUCAAAAUAAAACAAAACAAAAUAAUCCAUGAACUCAUUAAAGCCAGAUCAGAGUUCUUCAUCAAUAAUGGAACACUAAAAAUAAAUAACACAGAGAGGAGUGAUUCUGCUAAAUAUUCUUUAGAAAUCUUCAACUCAGAUGGACUUUACUUGGACACGAGAGGAGUACAACUGAUAAUUGGAGGAGGAUCUUAUGGCACUGCCAUAGGGUCACUAGUAGCUGUGGUCCUGGUCCUUGCAGUGGUGGUGGGAGCUUACUGUAUUCGCAAGAGGAGGAACCCUCCACAGGCAUCAGAUGCUGUUGAGAGUCCAGAACUGGAGUGUGAUGACAUCACGAUUCUAAAGAAGAGGGAGAAACAGAGAGAGGUUCCAGAGGAGGUGGUGUAUGGACAGAUUGUAGUGCUGGAGGGUGCCAGACCAAACACGGAGAGAGACAGACCUGAGGGGCAGGAGGAGACUUUGUAUGCUGGAAUACAGCUUGGCCAAUGAGUGCUGCAUGUUUGAAGGGUUGGUCUUUAGAAGUGGUACUGAAGCCUUGUUUCUCCAUUUGUUACUGUAACGAAUUGGAUUAACUUUCCCAUAUUACUGUUUAUAUUUCAAUGCAUUCAAUGCUGAGGGUUUUGUACAUUAUUUACCUAAAUAAAUAUCCCAACAAAUGGACUGUCUACAUUUGUCAUAGUCUCUCUGUUACUGAUUUAAUGUUUUAUUUAUUGACGUAUAAUUAUUAUUAUUUUUUUUUACAAACUCUCAACAAGGUUAUUGUGCAGUAGUAAAAGUUGUCAUUCACUGCAGAAGUUUGUGAUUGAAAGGAUGGCCCACUAGUGUGUCCUUCAUGGAAGAAUGGUUCCUUUUUUUGGUUAUUUUCUUAAUUUGCUUCUAAUAAACAAACCCAAUUCGUCACUGUUUGAGCUCCCAGGAAUUGCUAUAUAAAUGUAGUCCAUAAUGAUUUAUUGUUAUUCUGUCCAACUGCAACCCAAAAGGAAUCAGUUACAACCGGUCGAUGCCAUCGAUGAGUCACAAACAACCAUUUGGGAAACAUUAUAAAUUUGGUCCUCUCUGUUUCACUUUUUAUUUCUCUCACCUCUCCUCCUCUUAAAUCCAAUUUCUUUCUUUCUUUCUUUCUUUAUUUCUUUCUUUCUUUCUUUCUUUCUUUCUUUCGCAUUCAUUUAUUUUUUUGUAAUGUCACAAUCUUAAAUGGACUGAUAUAGCCGACUAAUUGUGAAGAAGAAGGUACUGUGUUAAUGUCAGUGAUGAACAGCUUGUUCAGUAUGUUAGAGCUGACCUCUGCCCUGACAAAACAAACGAGGUGUCAUUUUCUCAGGCCGAAUAUUUCUUUACACUCAAAAGUACACUCUUAGAGGUGAAUUCCAUGUAGAACCCUCCGUGGAAAGGGGACAGCCGAAGAACACUUACUGUAAGUUCUAGAUAUAAAUUAUUUUUCUUAGAGUGUAUUCUCACAUCACUUUUUUACAACUUAUCUGAUAUAACACAUCAAGAGACAUGAAUUUAAGUUCCUCUUUCCUCUGAGUUAGAACUUAGAAAAUCAGCUCAGAAUGAAAUAGUUAGGAUUUUGGUACAGUACAGUAUUGCUUCAUUUGUUAACUUGCCCUGUGUUGUGAAGAGACAUGAAGGCUUUGUUUGGACUGUUGGUGAUGUUAGCAGGAGUAUCUCAUGAUAAGACGUUUCUUUAUGUGUUGAUUUCCUUGUUUUACACAUGAUGUAAAGUGCCUUGUUUGUAUCAUGCAGAAAGUGAACCACUUGAUCAAAGUUGUUUGUGGUAUACUACAGGCUACUCAGAGUCACUUUUGUCAAAUUAAUCCCUCUCAUAAUGACUAAUGACAGAUACAGAGACAAUAUUCAAAACACUGCAAAAGACAGUUGUCUCGUUAUUCAUUGUCCUGUGAUAAUUAUAACUGACUGAGGUGCUGUUAUGUUUUUUAAUACCUUGAUGUCAUCGGUUUGGUUACACCGUUGCUUGUAUUCUCAUCCAUAAAAUUAAACCUUAAAACUAGGACAGUGAUAGUCAGUCACUACAGUGUCUAUCCUCUGUUGAUUUUCAGGCAUGGAGACCCCCUGUGAUGCUACACUGGAUGGAGCUCAGUGUUAUGGAACUCUGGGAGGAACUGACUCUCUCCAGCUGAUGACCGUUGUCAGUGGAGUCCCUGACAUAUCAUUAAAAACCAAAUCCAAUGAUGCUGCUAAAAAUAUACUCCAAAUUAGAAGAAAAAAAUUACGAAAAAAAAUCCAUUGAAACCAGAGCACACUUCUUUAUCAACAACGGGACAUGUAAGAUAGAUAACACAGAAAGCAGUUAUUCUGCUGAAUAUAGACUAGAAACAUUUAAUUCAGAUGGGGAAACAUUAGGGACCAGAAUACUACAACUGUCUAUUGAAGGUACAGUAAUUAGCUAACCCUUUAAAAAUCUCAGAUGAACAGCAGAGGGGUUUAUGACACGAUCAAUCUCGAAGGGGCCAACGAAUCGGGGAGCUAGUUUUUUGGGAAACCACUUUCAGGGGCAAGUCCUUAGAUGAAAGCCAUACCUUUUGGCCUGGAGUGUAGACUGGGGCUGAAGCACGAAGAGCAGCCCGGGCCCUCCUCCAGGUGCGACGACAACAGCGCAUGUGGUCCUGUACUGAGGGCACCGCUACUUCAACCUCUUGGGCAGGGAACAAGGGAGGUUCGUAACCCAGAGCACACUCAAAGGGAGACAUACCUGAUGAGGCGUUGAUGAGGGUGUUGUGAGCAUAUUCUACCCAGGGUAGCUGGGCACUCCAAGAGGAAGGGUUAGCCGAAGUCACAGAGCGUAUUGCAGUUUCCAACUCCUGGUUGGCCCGCUCGGUCUGGUUGUUGGUCUGGGGGUGAUAUCCAGACGAAAGGCUAAUAUUAAUACCCAGAGCUGGGGGUCCUCUGUCAGAAACAAUGUCACUAGGGAUGCCAUGCAGCCACAAAACAUGGGAUACCAGCAGGUCCAGAGUCUCCUGGGAGUAAGGGAACACCCUCCUGAAAUGGACAAAAAUGAAUGGGAAGUCAUUGGCACUGGACAAACCAUAUACACAUUGUCCAAUCCCUCUCAAUACGGCGUUGUUUUGUUCAAAGUUGAUUGCAAAUGCCAUAUGGCAAAUGCCAGGUAUGCUCCACCGUGGUUUUUCAUAUUGAAAAUGCAACACAAGUCAACAUUCAAAAGUAAAAUUUUGAAAAAGUGAAAAAAAAAAAAAAACCUAGCACCCCCUUAAAAAGUGCUCUCUGGACCGUUUUUCGAAAUUCUUUUGAUUUUGUUUUGUCAAUUACACAUGUGUAAGUACUGUAU
ensembl:lncRNA